rnacentral:rRNA from 1 species
AUUGAACGCUGGCGGCACGCCUAACACAUGCAAGUCGAGCGGCAGCGAGACUAGUAGCAAUACUAGUUGUCGGCGAGCGGCGGACGGGUGAGUAACACGUAGGAAUCUGCCCUUAAGCGGGGGAUAACCAAGGGAAACUUUGGCUAAUACCGCAUAAUCUCGAGAGAGCAAAGCUGCCCGCAAGGGUGGCACUUGAGGAGGAGCCUGCGUCCGAUUAGCUAGUUGGUGGGGUAAUGGCCUACCAAGGCGAUGAUCGGUAACUGGUCUGAGAGGACGACCAGUCACACUGGGACUGAGACACGGCCCAGACUCCUACGGGAGGCAGCAGUGGGGAAUAUUGGACAAUGGGGGCAACCCUGAUCCAGCGAUGCCGCGUGAGUGAAGAAGGCCUUCGGGUCGUAAAGCUCUUUAGGUUGGGAAGAAGUGUAUUGGCUGAAUAAUCCAGUACAUUGACGGUACCGACAGAAUAAGCACCGGCAAACUCUGUGCCAGCCGCCGCCGUAACAC